AACCAUGUUUAGCCCAGAAUAACCUUGAAUUUAAUAAAAUGUUGUUUUUGCCAAAAUAACUUGCAAGAUGUAUGAUAUUUCAUCAGGCAUGCAAAGACACCAGUGAAUUCAAGAUGUUUGGUUUUAUUUAUCUUAUCUGAAUAUCUGCUGUCACGCAUAACAUUCAUUAUUGAUAUACAAAAUCCAGUUACAACUCCGAACCGCUAGAUGGCAGCUGCAGUACACAAACACGAGGCCAAAUCUGGCGAGAAAGAUUUCCGGUGUUUGAAAAUCAACAACACCGACCAGCGAGCAGCCAAGGGGAAAGCAAUCUUCCACACUCGUUUGGUCUUGCGUCAAAGCUGUGUGAAACUGGAUGGAAAAACUUGAGAGACCGUGCCAGAAGAAUGCUGGACAGAGUUCCAUAAAAUUCAUUAAUUUUAAAGUUCAACAUGAAUGGUGGUAGUCCACUGCAGAAGCAAGCAUUUGAAAAAACAUCAGUUCUCAGUUAUUAAAGAUGCUGUGUUGAACAACUUCCCAGCAGCAACAGAACUGGAAGUGAAGGAUGCAAUGGGGGCAUUUCAAACAGGCACCAGGGAGGACGUGGUGUAUAGAAAUUAGUACAAUUAAUAAGUUGAAGUGAACUGAAGAUAGUUUGUUAAUGUUUAGAUGUUAUUUCAUUUUUAAAAUUGUAUUUGGUUAUUUAUGCUUUUAUUUUGUUACUGUUUUUAUUCUUUUUGUUAAAAGUAGUUUUUCUUCAUUUUGUCUUAUCUGAAUUUCUAUUGUAUUAACAAUAUUUUUUUGUAAUAAAUUGCAUGAUUACAUGUUUAUGAGAACCUUUUUUAAUGGAUUAAAAAGAAUUCUUUAGCC